rnacentral:rRNA from 1 species
AGUGAACGCUGGCGGCAGGCCUAACACAUGCAAGUCGAACGGCAGCACAAGAGAGCUUGCUCUCUGGGUGGCGAGUGGCGGACGGGUGAGGAAUGCAUCGGAAUCUGCCCAUUUGUGGGGGAUAACCUCGGGAAACCGGGACUAAUACCGCAUACGACCUACGGGUGAAAGCAGGGGAUCUUCGGACCUUGCGCAGAUGGAUGAGCCGAUGCCGGAUUAGCUAGUUGGAGGGGUAAAGGCCCACCAAGGCGACGAUCCGUAGCUGGUCUGAGAGGAUGAUCAGCCACACUGGAACUGAGACACGGCCCAGACUCCUACGGGAGGCAGCAGUGGGGAAUAUUGGACAAUGGGCGCAAGCCUGAUCCAGCCAUGCCGCGUGUGUGAAGAAGGCCUUCGGGUUGUAAAGCACUUUUGUUGGGAAAGAAAAGCAGCCGGUUAAUACCCGGUUGUCAUGACGGUACCCAAAGAAUAAGCACCGGCUAACUUCGU